GGAAUCUUGGGCAAUGGGCGAAAGCCUGACCCAGCAACGCCGCGUGGAGGACGAAGGCCUUCGGGUCGUAAACUCCUGUCCGAGGGGAAGCAGAAAGUGACGGUACCCCUGGAGGAAGCCCCGGCUAACUCCGAGCCAGCAGCCGCGGCAAGACGGGGGGGGCGAGCGUUGUUCGGAAUUACUGGGCGUAAAGGGCGCGUAGGCGGCGCAGGAAGUCUUGGGUGAAAGCCCCCGGCUCAACCGGGGAAUGUCCCGAGAAACCACUGUGCUGGAGCGCUGGAGGGGGAAGUGGAAUUCCCGGUGGAGCGGUGAAAUGCGUAGAGAUCGGGAGGAACACCAGAGGCGAAGGCGGCUUCCUGGACAGACACUGACGCUGAGGCGCGAAAGCUAGGGGAGCA
rnacentral:rRNA from 1 species